AUUUUUGGUCUUGGCUCUAUUGGGUUGAUAAAUAGCAGUCAAUUUUUAUUAAGACCCUUCUUGAUUGGAGAAAGGAUUAGUGGAUUAAGGUGGGGUCACAUUCUAGCAGAGUUGACUGGUUGGAGUCAUGGAUUGAACAGUAAGUGUUGCUUUGUUUCCUACUUGAGUCUCAGCACUGCAUCUGCCCUUCUCCCUCCCUCUCCCUUUCUUCCCUCUAUCCUUCCCUCUCUUCAUAAUAUACUGUUUUGUCACAUAGUUCUGUGUAGCAGUAAAAAGCUCAAAAGCAAUGUGAAAGCCGGGUGUGUAACCAGUUGGUUUAAUUCUAAAAGAUCUUGUGUUUAUUUCACUUUCUGCUUGACGGGGCCUCCUGACUUUUCUCAGACCCACUUACAAAAAGGAGAUUUUUCAUUAUAUGGUCUUAUAUUUUUCAUAUUUUCUCUUAAAAAAAGGAGGAUUUUUUAAUUGCAUGAGCAAAACAUAGUAGCACUAUACAGGUUCAUGAAGAUUUAAUUCCAAAUUUUCUCUCUUUCCCUCUCUCUCUUUUUUUUAACCUCAGACAAGAAACUUGAAUCUCAAAACAAAUGAAGAUGCCGUGCUCUUUUAGACACUCCUGACAGGAGAAAAACAUCCUAAAACUCUUAGGAAUCUUGAAAUACCACUGUCCAGUUCCUUUACAUUCAGUGGAACAGACUGUAUUAAUAUUAUUGUUGUUAAUGCUUGCUGCUAUAACAAGUAAACCCAGAAUUACAUAAAGACUCAAACAUGGAAGAAGUUUACUUUUCUUUCAGAUAAAAGAUGAGAUGGCUGAUCCCGAUUGAUACACAGCUCUCUUUCAAAUCAUGACUCCAGGAUGCAGGUUUCUUCCAUCAUCAACACUUGGCUUCCAAAACCGUCAUCCUGAAUCUGUGUCAAACAAAUGGAAAAGGAAAGAACAUGAUGAGUGGUAUAGGAGAGAUUUUUUAGGGCCAGGUCUUAAAGUGAAGUCUAUCUCUUAGGUUCAAAUUCCUCUGGCUAGAGCUCAGUCCUACCACAGCUGGUGGAAAAGGCAGGUGGGCGUGUAGUCUAGCUCUGAGACAAGGAAACAUAGGAUAUAGGCUAAGGGAACAGCUAAUCCUACUAUGUUUUCUUAGCUGAAAAAUCCUACUUGCUUAGUACACUUUCACUGAUGUUUGGCUUUAUGAGCAAAUGCACUGGAACAUGGUAGGGAGAAGACUUAGCUAUUUACAGACAUGUGAAUCAGAGCACAGCUCCCGUGCAACUCAAGAGCGUCUCAGGGUGGGUUCUACUGAUAGAUGAAUGGACAUCUAGAGGUGCCUGUUUGGAAACUAAGACUCUGAAAAGAGAGGAAGAGGGUGUCAGGAGGAGGCAGCGAAGCAUUAUCCUGGUCAGAGGUUACCACCUGCAGGAGCACUAGAAACCUGGGAUACUUUUCCAGCUGUUGUUUUAGCUAAGAUCUAGGAUGUGGACAACUGUCAUCACCAUAGUAUAAGAAUGAUGGCAGCCCUGGGGUUAAAAAUUGCAAGCCCGAGCAAAGUUGCAUUUGUCUGUUCCCAAACCUGUAUUAUUUCCAUCUAUCAUUUCGCUCCAGUCAGGCAAACUGAUUUAUUAGUUAUAGCCUCUGAACCUCAAUUAAUUUCACUUAGGGCAUUUUCACACUUGUACAAUAAAUGUUUGAAUUAAGACAUUUCUUUUCUUCUGAAAUUGAAUUGCAUGUUAACUGGUUAUUGGCUGUCGCUGGUGGUCUACACAAUUACAGAUAAGAGCAUUGAUCUGGCAAGAAAACAAAUUGGUUCCUAAAAGCGGGCAGUUUGGAUUUGACAGCUGCAGAUGAUUACGUGUCUCUCUAAUGGAUACUGUGCAUUACCAUUGGAGGUGUGAAAGAUCUGCAAAUCCCUUUCCUUGGUUGGCUGCUUCUACCAAGGCUGCUUAAAUCUGCCUACCCCCUUCCGUGCAGAUGGCUGAAUUGACUGAUAGGGAACAGUGCCCCAAAUGAACUGAAUGGCUGGUGAGUUACUGAUAUCUAGAUCACACCUUGAGAUAGGCGUAAGUUUCUGAAAGAAGCCUUCUUGAUUUGAGCAGAUAGCCUUAGAAGUGAGGUUGGUUUCCACUACAAACGCUUGACAGGCAACAGGCAUAAAAAACCUCAGUCAAGCUGACAAAAUACUUCCCUGGGAGGCUAGACCAUGAAGGGUACUACCUAGAGAUUUCACUCUAUUGGAAAGAGCCCGGAUUUUGGUCACCCUGGCUAAAGGAGAGUUAGAUGGUUUGCUCAGCAGUUGGUGUGCUGGCUUUUAGGAACUUGAUUUGAGUUCAGACAUUUUGGGAGAGAAUGAUUUAGGUUCUGGCCCUACCCAAUGACCUCAAUAUAGAGACAGGACCCCCUGCUUCCUUCUCAUGAACAUCAGCAACUUGACCUCUGCACUCCUUCUCUAUCCUACUCAAGGUAGGAGGCCUUUGGUGAAAAGCUCAGUACUGCCAAUCAAAUAUCCCAACUGCCCCCAAUAGAAGCCAUUUUGGGAUAGGUUCCUUUGAUUUUUAAGAGUCGUCUAUACAACUCUUCCAGUGUAAGAUGAUCUCAUUGUAAAAAUCUCUCUGUCCCCAGGGGAGUGAUAAGCAAUAUCCUCUUUAAGAGCUUCAGGUCAAAGUCCAGAUUCCCAGCUUUAUUCCGGCUCUGGGUACAUCUAAAGGAGGAUAUUAUGUUCCCGGGGUCAAGCUUUCAGAUCUUACCCCAUCGAGAAGAUAAUAAAAAAGCACUUGUAGUUGGAUUUUAUUCAUCAUUUAUAUAAUCACUGAAAUUACAGAUGAAAAAGGCCAUUAUGUCAUCCAGCCUCUCUUGCUAGCCAGUGUGUGUAUAUUUUUCUUUUAUAACAUCCCAUAAAAGCAUCCUACACAGGGUUAGCUCUUAAUAAUCUCUUGGCCAUUUGUGGCAAGUGCAAACUAUUCCAAAUUCACUGGAUUUUUGCCUGAUUCCCAUCUGGAAAACUCUUGAAAUUGCUCAGUCUGAGCAACCAUGCAUUUUGCUUCACCCCCCACAUCUCUGCCAUGCCAGCCCAGUCUGCUCUGCCUGGACAGUGCAUCUAGGACCCAUGUCCUUACGGGCUCUCAUAGAAGAGACUAGGGUGUUUCCCUGGUUGUAUUUUUCAAGCAAGAAUGUGUGGAUCGUUGGUGGGGGACCGGAGGCAUAUUCUUAGAAAGUCCAAGUUCUUUGUGAGAAGUUUUCAAUGCUCUAUUUUUGUUUCGAUGAUUUCAAAACACAUGUGAGCAUAUCGUGGAGCAUCUGGAAGACCUUCUUUUAACUGAACACUGUCACGUAAUUCCAGUGUCCCGACUACAUUUGCAUUAGGGCCAACUAGUACCACCUUGUCUCACCGAUGAGAAAAUCGACGCAGUAGAAUUCACUUGCACCCUUGUGGAGACCAAAGGACAUCAGAACGUGCUCAGGAAACUGUUGGUUUUUGGAAUUUGCAUCAAGAGUCACUGCGCAGCACCUGACAGCAGAAGCAGACCAAACUCAAAGGCAGGUGUCCCACAGCACUUGGAACCAUACUCACAGUGUGAGGAAGAAUUUGUUUUUAUCAAGCUGUCAUCUA
ensembl:lncRNA